rnacentral:rRNA from 1 species
AUUGAACGCUGGCGGCAGGCCUAACACAUGCAAGUCGAGCGAGCGGCGGACGGGUGUGUAAUGUCUGUGAAACUGCCUGAUGUAGGGGGAUAACUACUGGAAACGGUAGCUAAUACCGCAUACCAUCAGAUGUGCCCACAUGGGGUUAGCUAGUAGGUGGGGUAACGGCUCACCCAGGCGACGAUCCCUAGCUGGUCUGAGAGGAUGACCAGCCACACUGGAACUGAGACACGGUCCAGACUCCUACGGGAGGCAGCAGUGGGGAAUAUUGCGCAAUGGGCGCAAGCCUGAUGCAGCCAUGCCGCGUGUGUGAAGAAGGCCUUCGGGUUGUAAAGUACUUUCAGCGGGGAGGCGUUACCCGCAGAAGAAGCACCGGCUAACUCCGUGCCAGCAGCCGCGGUAAUUC